rnacentral:rRNA from 2 species
CACCGCGGUUAUACGAGAGGCUCAAGUUGACAGACAACGGCGUAAAGAGUGGUUAAGGAAAAUUUUCAAACUAAAGCCGAACGUCCUCAGAGCUGUUCAACGCUUCCGAGUUAAGAAGCCCCACCACGAAAGUAGCUUUACUCUGCCUGACCCCACGAAAGCUGUGAAA